rfam:Dipodomys ordii contig_71234, whole genome shotgun sequence.
GGUGGUUCAGUGGUAGAGUGCUUGCCUUGAAUGCAGGAGGCCCUGGGUUCGAUUCCUCAGCACCA